rnacentral:lncRNA from 1 species
GGCAAUUUUUAUGUAUGUUUCAUUCAGAAGAAACUUUUCUAAUGAUCUUAAUUGCCUGAUUUUUUUUUCUUCCAAGGAGUAAUGGUAUGUAUGUUUCAUUCCAAAGAAGAAACUUUUCUAAUGAUCUUAAUUGCCUGAGAUUUUUUUCCCAAAGGAGUAAUGGUAUGUAUGUUUCAUUCAGAAGAAACUUUUCUAAUGAUCUUAUUUGCCUGAUUUUUUUUUCCAAGGAGUAUUUAUGUAUGUUUCAUUCAUAAGAAACUUUUCUAAUGAUCUUAUUUGCCUGAUUUUUUUUUCCAAGGAGUAAUGGUAAAGAUAGUAGCCUCUUCCCCUUCCAUGCCUCCGAGUGAAGACUGAAUGCGAGAUCUUGCAAUUAGCUAAUGCUAAGAUCUUUAGUUAUAAUGAUCCCAAUUUAAUUAGCCACAACCUCCCUCACUAACCUCCCUCACUAGAUUCACAUCAGAUCAUGUCCCAUUAGUUAUCUCCAUCUCCUCAUCAAUCCCUCGCCCCACGAAUUUCAGAUUUGAUAAUAGCUGGGCCGCACACCCUGACUUCAUGGGCAUCAUCCAAUCACCUUGGGCCCAGAGCAAUUCACACUCCGAUGCCACGGCGGACCUCGUCAAUACGACCCAAAAAACGAGAGCUGUCCUAAAAAAAUGGAGGAAGCGGUGUAUCCCGCAUACACAGAUUGAAACAAAUUGUAAGAUCGUCAUCGCCCUUCUGGAUAGACACGAAGAACGAAGGCGCCUAGCGCCGAUCGAACAGGCUCUGCGAUUUGCGAAGGCUUAUGAUCUCCCUCCUGCAGCGGGCAAUUAGGGCCAAAGUGUCGCACUGGAAACAGCGUGGCAAAGUUCGGCUCGCUGUGGAAGGACACGAAAAUACGAAGUAUUUCCAUGUGGCUGCUUCCCAACGUACGCGUAAGAAUAAAAUUGUAACCCUCGAAUUAGACAUGC